GACGAACGCUGGCGGCGUGCUUAACACAUGCAAGUCGAACGGAAACGCCCCCACUUUUUUGGCGGGGGUGCUCGAGUGGCGAACAGGUGAGUAACACGUGGGUAUCCUGCCCUGUACUUCGGGAUAAGCUUGGGAAACUGGUUCGAAUACCGGAUAGAACAAUGGUUUAUUUUCUCAUGGUGGAAUAAUUAUUGUUUUGGUGCAGGACGAGCUCGCGGCAUAUCAGCUUGUUGGUGGGGUAAUGGCCUACCAAGGCGUCGACGGGUAGCCGGCCUGAGAGGGUGGACGGCCACAUUGGGACUGAGAUACGGCCCAGACUCCUACGGGAGGCAGCAGUGGGGAAUAUGGCACAAUGGGCGCAAGCCUGAUGCAGCGACGCCGCGUGGGGGAUGACGGCCUUCGGGUUGUAAACUCCUUUCGUUAGGGACGAAGCCGCACCUUUUUUGGGUGUGGUGACGGUACCUUUGUGAAGAAGCACCGGCUAACUACGUG
rnacentral:rRNA from 1 species